CGCAGGUUCCGCGGCCAUGCGCCUUUCCGCGCUCGAAUUGGCCGUCGUACCGUCUGCCGUCGGGCCAGAUGCGGGUCCCGCAGCCGUCCUGCUCGCCGUUUAGCCACUCGCCCUUGCGGCGUUCGCCGUUGGCAAAAACAAAGACCCCGCGACCGUUGGGCACACCGGACUUCCACUCGCCCCUGUAGGUCGUGCCGUCGGGGUGCACAAACGUGCCGCGCCCGCGGAUUUCGCCAUCGCUCCACUCGCCAUCAUACCGGGAGCCGCACGAAAAAGUGUGCACGCCACGGCCGCACCGACGACCGUUACGCCAUUCGCCCUCGUAGCCGGUAUGUUUUCGGUGCGGCGCAAUGGCGGCGGGUCCAGAGGAGGUUCUCGCAAGUGUCUGGUCCCGCUGGCAGUACGGCGCGGGCAACAAAAGCGCCAGACCGUACCCGUGCGGCAGACCGUCUCGACAAUCGCCCCAGUAGAUAAAGUCGCCCGCGGCAAUGUCCACCAACGCGGCACCGACAUCGUCGCCCACCGUCGCGGCCGCGUGCGCCUGGGCGCGAUAGAGCCACCGCCAGCAUUUGCCAUAGGUCGCAAACUGGCAAUGAAGAACAAGAGGACCAAAGCGCAGUUCGCAUAGGCGUCGCCACAGGGUUGGAUCGCUGACCAGGUCGUGGUGCCUACGGCAAGUUUGAGCGAUCGAGGCGAGCGCCGCGAGAUUGUUGCCCAGUAGAAUAAAGAUGGCCAGGGCCAAUUCGUUUGGGAGCAGGUCGAAA
rnacentral:lncRNA from 1 species